UACGUAGGGUCCGAGCGUUGUCCGGAAUUAUUGGGCGUAAAGGGCUCGUAGGCGGUUAGUCACGUCGGGAGUGAAAACUCAGGGCUCAACCCUGAGCGUGCUUCCGAUACGGGCUGACUAGAGGUAUGCAGGGGAGAACGGAAUUCCUGGUGUAGCGGUGGAAUGCGCAGAUAUCAGGAGGAACACCGGUGGCGAAGGCGGUUCUCUGGGCAUUUACUGACGCUGAGGUGCGAAAGCGUGGGGAGCAAACAGG
rnacentral:rRNA from 1 species